rfam:Sorghum bicolor cultivar BTx623 chromosome 7, whole genome shotgun sequence.
AUUCCAUGAUGGGGACAUUCUAGGAUGUAGUGUUGAAAGCGCUCCUAUGCUUCUGGAACGGAUUCAUCAUUUUGUUGCUGAAAACUUGUAAUCUUCCCACGGAGAGC